UGUGCCUUUCCUUUCCAGAGACUUAUGGAUGGUGCUGUCUCACCGGGAAACUCCAGCCUGUACCUCCGUGGGCCUUUCCAUAGAUUAAACCACACAGCAGUGGCACUUCUCAGCACGGAAUAUGUCGACCUGGAGGCCUCACAGGAAAGAGGUGCUGGGAUCUGUCAAACCCUGAUGCUGAUGCCACCAACUCCAACCCAGGAAAGUAAUCUUGGUUCUUCUCUCUGAGUCAGCAUGUUUGUUUGUCAAUUUUGGAUAUUCCUUAUCUGGAGAUACAAGCUUACAUUGUGGGUUGUAAAAUGUAAAAGAGAGUCUUUCACUCUAGCUUUCAAAAAUUUAUAGAUAAAUGAUGGCACUAAAAGUUAAAUAAUGGGAAUAUUUAUAAAAUAGAAAAGAAUGAUACACAGCUGCUUUACUUUCAUGAUUCAGUGGGCUACGUGCUAGCUGCCUUCCUUGUGAAUUUUUUCCUGUUUCUUAUAAAAUGCUCAAUACAAUUCUAAUGGUGAUGACUACUUACAGCAUCCUUCUUGUAGCAGCCUCCCUUGCUCUAUUGACCUCAGGAAUUGAUUGGUGUGGCUAACACAUCACCCUCAAAGAAGUAUGUGCAGUUUCAGAUCCUGCUUUCACAAAACCCUGUGCGCUUUAACAUCUUGGAUAUGUGAGCACCCAUGCAGAUUACCUGGUGACUCAAGGUGGGAGAUUAUUGAAUGGAAGUUCAGCAGUGGCCACACCACUGAAGAAGUUGACAACCCCUCUUCAAAGGACUGCAGCUGCCAAUAGUCCUUCAGGGAGGACCUCUCCUCUACCCAUGAUAAAAAGUUAAUGGGUCCAAACAUGAGCCUGAAAUGUAAGAUAGCUACAGGUGCAGUGAGUUCAUGUAUGAUAGUCACAAGCACAGUGAGUUAAUGUAAAAUAGUCAGAACCAGAGUGAGUUCGUGAAGCAUAGUUGUACCACAGUGAGUUCAUGUAAGAUAGCCACAGCCGUGGAGCAGCGUUUGUCAUAUGGAAAACACCGUUUUGUUGCACAUCUAUCCAUUCUCCAAAUGCAUGAGAAUGUCUAUUUCAUAUAUUUCAUGCCAUUGAAUGCUUCAUAUAAAAAUGAACUGUAACUAGCUUAAACUGCUUCCUUUCCUGUUGGCGAAUACCAAGGCUUUCAGUUAUUUUAUAUACCAAGUAUCAUGAAUUAGUUAAUUAACUUUUUGAGACAAGGUUCAUAACUCCAAUGUGGUUGUUUGAAAGAAAAUACCCCCCAAUAGGGAGUGUCACUAUUAGGAGAUGUGACCUGGUUCGAGUAGGUAUGGCCUUGUGGGGCUGAGCUUUGAGGUCUCCAAUGCUUAAGCUAUACAUAGUGUUACACUCCAUUUCCUCUUGCUUGUGGAUCAAGAUGUAGAACUCUCAACUUUUCUUCAGCAUCAUGUCUGUUUGCAUGUCUCCAUGUUCCGCCAUGAUGAUAAUGGACUAAAGCUCUGAAACUGUAAGCUACUAAGUAAAUUUUUCCUUUAUAAAUGUUGCCAUGGUCACAGAGUCUCUUCCUAACAGUAGAAACUGUAAGACACCCAGGAUGACUGAAAACCCUUGAUUCUUCUGCCUUAGCCUCAUGAGUGCUGAAGUUGGAGGACUAUACCAUCAUAUUGACAUGAAAAACACAUUUAACCCUCAUUUAUAUUUCACCAGCAUUAAUAACUGGCUCCACUCUCUUCUGUGUAAGUUAAAUGAGCUCUA